rnacentral:lncRNA from 1 species
UGGGACUAGAGGCAUCCACCACCACGCCCAGAGUGAAUAACUGGAUCACAUGUUUUUGAAAGACAAUUUUAUUUGGAAAAGGAAGUCUUAGCUUUACUCCCAACUGCCCCACCAUAGUGCAAGAUUCAAAUGUUGAAGUCCUAAACCUCCAUCCCUCAGAAUGUGACCUUAUUUGGAAACUGCUCAUUGCAGAUGUAAUCAAAUUAAAGUGAAGUCAUUAGAGAGGACCCUAAUUCAACAUGACUGAUACCUUUACAAAAAGGGAAAUUUGGACACAGAGAUAGAUGGAAGACGAUGCGAAGUCACAGGGAGAAAAUGGCCAUCUGCAAGCCAAGGAGAGAAGCCUAGAACAGAUCUCUCCCUUGUAGCUCUCAGAAGGAAUCGAUCCUGCUGACAUCUUGAUGCCUCGAGGAAGGCAUAAGCAUGCUGCUGCUAUGAAAGCUGGAGGCAAGCAUGCUAUAAAUCAGGAAGAAAAUGAGGAAGCAGG